GCUGCGGUGUCCGAGUGGUUAAGGAGUUGGACUUGAAAUCCAAAGGGUUCUACCCGAACAGGUUCGAGUCCUGUCCGCAUCG
rnacentral:tRNA from 1 species